rnacentral:rRNA from 1 species
CAGCCGCCGCGGGAAUACGUAGGUGGCAAGCGUUGUCCGGAAUUAUUGGGCGUAAAGGGCUCGCAGGCGGUUUCUUAAGUCUGAUGUGAAAGCCCCCGGCUCAACCGGGGAGGGUCAUGGAAACUGGGAAACUUGAGUGCAGAAGAGGAGAGUGGAAUUCCACGUGUAGCGGUGAAAUGCGUAGAGAUGUGGAGGAACACCAGUGGCGAAGGCGACUCUCUGGUCUGUAACUGACGCUGAGGAGCGAAAGCGUGGGGAGCGAACAGGAUUAGAUACCCCUGUAGUCCCUGUCUCUUAUAAA